rnacentral:rRNA from 1 species
CUAUACAUGCAGUCGAGCGGACGGAUGGGAGCUUGCUCCCAGACCGUCAGCGGCGGACGGGUGAGUAACACGUGGGCAACCUGCCUGUAAGACUGGGAUAACUCCGGGAAACCGGGGCUAAUACCGGAUAACUCUUUCCCUCACAUGAGGAAAAGCUGAAAGAUGGCAUCUCGCUAUCACUUACAGAUGGGCCCGCGGCGCAUUAGCUAGUUGGUGAGGUAACGGCUCACCAAGGCGACGAUGCGUAGCCAACCUGAGAGGGUGAUCGGCCACACUGGGACUGAGACACGGCCCCAGACUCCUACGGGAGGCAGCAGUAGGGAAUCUUCCGCAAUGGACGAAAGUCUGACGGAGCAACGCCGCGUGAGUGAUGAAGGUUUUCGGAUCGUAAAACUCUGUUGUCAGGGAAGAACAAGUACCGGAGUAACUGCCGGUACCUUGACGGUACCUGACCAGAAAGCCACGGCUAACUACGUGCCAGCAGCCGCGGUAAUACGUAGGUGGCAAGCGUUGUCCGGAAUUAUUGGGCGUAAAGCGCGCGCAGGCGGUUCCUUAAGUCUGAUGUGAAAGCCCCCGGCUCAACCGGGGAGGGUCAUUGGAAACUGGGGAACUUGAGUGCAGAAGAGAAGAGUGGAAUUCCACGUGUAGCGGUGAAAUGCGUAGAGAUGUGGAGGAACACCAGUGGCGAAGGCGACUCUUUGGUCUGUAACUGACGCUGAGGCGCGAAAGCGUGGGGAGCAAACAGGAUUAGAUACCCUGGUAGUCCACGCCGUAAACGAUGAGUGCUAAGUGUUAGAGGGUUUCCGCCCUUUAGUGCUGCAGCAAACGCAUUAAGCACUCCGCCUGGGGAGUACGGCCGCAAGGCUGAAACUCAAAGGAAUUGACGGGGGCCCGCACAAGCGGUGGAGCAUGUGGUUUAAUUCGAAGCAACGCGAAGAACCUUACCAGGUCUUGACAUCUCCUGACAACCCUAGAGAUAGGGCGUUCCCCUUCGGGGGACAGGAUGACAGGUGGUGCAUGGUUGUCGUCAGCUCGUGUCGUGAGAUGUUGGGUUAAGUCCCGCAACGAGCGCAACCCUUGAUCUUAGUUGCCAGCAUUCAGUUGGGCACUCUAAGGUGACUGCCGGUGACAAACCGGAGGAAGGUGGGGAUGACGUCAAAUCAUCAUGCCCCUUAUGACCUGGGCUACACACGUGCUACAAUGGAUGGUACAAAGGGCUGCAAGACCGCGAGGUUAAGCGAAUCCCAUAAAACCAUUCUCAGUUCGGAUUGCAGGCUGCAACUCGCCUGCAUGAAGCCGGAA